rnacentral:rRNA from 1 species
AACGAACGCUGGCGGCAUGCCUAACACAUGCAAGUCGAACGAGACCUUCGGGUCUAGUGGCGCACGGGUGCGAAACGCGUGGGAACCUGCCCUUAGGUUCGGAAUAACUCCCCGAAAGGGGUGCUAAUACCGGAUAAUGUCUUCGGACCAAAGAUUUAUCGCCUUUGGAUGGGCCCGCGUUGGAUUAGCUAGUUGGUAGGGUAAAAGCCUACCAAGGCGACGAUCCAUAGCUGGUCUGAGAGGAUGAUCAGCCACACUGGGACUGAGACACGGCCCAGACUCCUACGGGAGGCAGCAGUGGGGAAUAUUGGACAAUGGGCGAAAGCCUGAUCCAGCAAUGCCGCGUGAGUGAUGAAGGCCUUAGGGUUGUAAAGCUCUUUUACCCGGGAUGAUAAUGACAGUACCGGGAGAAUAAGCUCCGGCUAACUCCGUG